AUUGAACGCUGGCGGCAGGCCUAACACAUGCAAGUCGAGCGGAUGAGAGGAGCUUGCUUCUCGAUUCAGCGGCGGACGGGUGAGUAAUGCCUAGGAAUCUGCCUAGUAGUGGGGGACAACGUUUCGAAAGGAACGCUAAUACCGCAUACGUCCUACGGGAGAAAGUGGGGGAUCUUCGGACCUCACGCUAUUAGAUGAGCCUAGGCCGGAUUAGCUAGUUGGUAGGGUAAAGGCCUACCAAGGCGACGAUCCGUAACUGGUCUGAGAGGAUGAUCAGGCACACUGGAACUGAGACACGGUCCAGACUCCUACGGGAGGCAGCAGUGGGGAAUAUUGGACAAUGGGCGCAAGCCUGAUCCAGCCAUGCCGCGUGUGUGAAGAAGGCCCUCGGGUCGUAAAGCACUUUAAGUGGGGAGGAAGGGCUUACAGCGAAUACCUGUGAGUUUUGACGUUACCGACAGAAUAAGCACCGGCUAACUUCGUGCCAGCAGCCGCCGUAA
rnacentral:rRNA from 1 species